rnacentral:rRNA from 1 species
GACGAACGCUGGCGGCGUGCUUAACACAUGCAAGUCGAGCGGUAAGGCCCUUUCGGGGGUACACGAGCGGCGAACGGGUGAGUAACACGUGGGUGACCUGCCCUCAGCUCUGGGAUAAGCCUGGGAAACCGGGUCUAAUACCGGAUAUGACUCCAUGACGCAUGUUGUGGGGUGGAAAGCCUUGUGCGGCUGAGGAUGGGCCCGCGGCCUAUCAGCUUGUUGGUGGGGUGANGGCCUACCAAGGCGACGACGGGUAGCCGGCCUGAGAGGGCGACCGGCCACACUGGGACUGAGACACGGCCCAGACUCCUACGGGAGGCAGCAGGUGGGGAAUCUUGCGCAAUGGGCGAGAGCCUGACGCAGCGACGCCGCGUGAGGGAUGACGGCCU